rnacentral:rRNA from 1 species
UGCCUAACACAUGCAAGUCGAACGAGAAAGUCCCGCAAGGGAUGAGUAAAGUGGCGCACGGGUGAGUAACACGUAGGUAACCUGCCUCUAAGACCGGGAUAACCUGUCGAAAGAUGGGCUAAUACCAGAUAAGACCACAGUUCCCUCGGGGACCGGGGUCAAGGGUGGCCUCUGCUUGCAAGCUAUCACUUAGAGAUGGACCUGCGCACCAUUAGCUAGUUGGUAGGGUAACGGCCUACCAAGGCAAAGAUGGUUAGCUGGUUUGAGAGGAUGAUCAGCCACACUGGAACUGAGACACGGUCCAGACUCCUACGGGAGGCAGCAGUGGGGAAUCUUGGGCAAUGGGCGAAAGCUUGACCCAGCAACGCCGCGUGGGUGAUGAAGGCCUUCGGGUCGUAAAGCCC